rnacentral:lncRNA from 1 species
UUGAUGUAGAUCCUUCUUCUCUAAGAUAGAUCUUCCCACGAAUCUGAACCAAAUCUGGAUCUUUGAUCAACUCUUGAUCUCUUCUUGACCUUCUUGUCCUCUUCUUCUUGAUUUUUCUUUCUUAAUUCUUGAAGCAACCAAGACCAAAAAUCAGUUGGAAGAGGGGACGCCCAAGCUUCUUGGGCGUUGGAUGAUGGGAUGCCCCACCUACUUGGGCAUGGGAACUAAAAGAGAGAGAAAGAGGUGGCGUGAAGGCUUUCUAAGGGGCUUGGGAUGAUCCAAAAAUUCUGCAUAAAAACCCUAAACAAAGGCCACUUAAAUAGAGGAGGUUUUAGAGUCCAAACCAAAAUCAGAUUUGGUGUGAAACACUUCUCCUAAUCGCAUUAGGACUCCUCCUUAUUCUCAUUUAUUCACCAUGCCUAAUAG